GACGAACGCUGGCGGCGUGCUUAACACAUGCAAGUCGAACGGAAAGGCCCUGCUUUCGUGGGGUGCUCGAGUGGCGAACGGGUGAGUAACACGUGAGUAACCUGCCCUUGACUUUGGGAUAACUUCAGGAAACUGGGGCUAAUACCGGAUAGGAGCUCCUGCUGCAUGGUGGGGGUUGGAAAGUUUCGGCGGUUGGGGAUGGACUCGCGGCUUAUCAGCUUGUUGGUGGGGUAGUGGCUUACCAAGGCUUUGACGGGUAGCCGGCCUGAGAGGGUGACCGGCCACAUUGGGACUGAGAUACGGCCCGGACUCCUACGGGAGGCAGCAGUGGGGAAUAUUGCACAAUGGGCGGAAGCCUGAUGCAGCAACGCCGCGUGCGGGAUGACGGCCUUCGGGUUGUAAACCGCUUUCGCCUGUAACGAAGCGUGAGUGACGGUAAUGGGUAAAGAAGCACCGGCUAACUACGUG
rnacentral:rRNA from 1 species